AUGAAGAUUGGGACCGCAUUUGCUGUCGCUUUGUUGUGGUCCCUCUGGUGGACCACCAAAACAGCUGUGCACCACAUAGACCACCAAGAGCACAUGUGGGUCACCUGGGCUAACCAGACAGGCCAAGAGUCCUUCUGCUUAUCACUAGCCACGCCUUCCGAUCCCCUCCGUACCUGCCUUAUCGGAGUCCCAUUGACAAAGGCCAGUAGCUUCAAAAGCUACACCUCUAAAUAUCAAGAGCCAGAAGCCGCGUUCUCGGCCUUUUGUGUUGUGACGAGCAGUAGCACAACACUCGGCAUCUGCAAGACCCUUCAAAUUAAGCAGAACCCUUUAGCCGCCCAAGCACAAAAUACCGCCCUAGGCCUUAAUACAUCUACGCUCAAACCGCAAGAGCUAGAUCUCUUAGGCUCCCAGCCUGGUCCCUAUUGCCUUAUGUUUGGAUACUAUGGCUAUAACGGCAGUUUAAAGCCCCAACAGCCGAUCAAUGUUAGCACAUGGCUGAGCCCGACCACCUCAUGGUACUCCAAUGGCACAGCCUACUGCAAUGGCUCAGUGUGGCCAGUUAAUGACUCUCCACAAAAACCUAGGGCAUUACCCUCGGGAACCUUCCUUAUUUGCAGAGAUAGAGCAUGGCCAGGAGUGCCUUCUAAGCCGAUGGGAGGGCCGUGUUAUUUUGGGAAGCUAACAAUGUUUGCCCCUAGCAUCCAGCAAAUCCUAAACAUCACGCACAAACGAUCACGACGGAGCAUUUGUCAGUUAGGCCCCGAUUGCAGAGACAAUGUGGAAUUAUGGGAACCCCCUGCUGUCUUUUUUGCCUCUCUCCUAGCCCCAGGAGUCGCGUCAGCACACGCCCUCACCCAGCUUAAGAAGCUCGCAUGCUGGGCAGGCAAGCAAGCAAAUGUCACUUCAGACGUGUUGAGAGAACUCGCUACAGAUGUAGAUAGCCUGCGCCAUGCACUGCUGCAAAAUUGUGCAGCCAUUGACUUCUUAUUGCUAGCACAAGGCCAUGGCUGCCAAGAAUUUGAAGGAAUGUGCCGCUUUAAUCUAUCUGAUCACAGCACUUCCAUCCAUAAGCAGCUGCAAUGGCUGCGAGAGCAUACUCAGAAGCUUACUGUAGAAAGCAAGCCCUUUGAUCAACGGCUUGCUAGCCUCUUUGGUAAUCUUUCCCCUUGGAUGCGAACCAUUUUAACAGAAGCUUUUCGCUGGCUCAGUAUAAUUUUUGCCAUGCUGCUUAUUAUCCGGAUAGCUUAUUCUUGCAUUAUUCGCCAAGUAACAAAGAUCACAAACAAUGUCCUGCUUGUGCAAAAAGAGAAAACAGGAAUUGUGGAAGGAUGGCUGCAAGAAAGAGGACAUGAAACUUAA
rnacentral:lncRNA from 1 species